UACGUAGGACCCAAGCGUUAUCCGGAGUGACUGGGCGUAAAGAGUUGCGUAGGCGGCUUAAUAAGUGGAUAGCGAAACCUGGUGGCUCAACCAUACAGACUAUUAUCCAAACUGUUAAGCUCGAGAAUGGUAGAGGUGGCUGGAAUUUCUAGUGUAGGAGUGAAAUCCGUAGAUAUUAGAAGGAACACCAAUCGCGUAGGCAGGCCACUGGACCAUUUCUGACGCUAAGGCACGAAAGCGUGGGGAGCGAACCGG
rnacentral:rRNA from 1 species